rnacentral:rRNA from 1 species
GACGAACGCUGGCGGCGUGCUUAACACAUGCAAGUCGAACGGAAAGGCCCUGCUUUUGUGGGGUGCUCGAGUGGCGAACGGGUGAGUAACACGUGAGUAACCUGCCCUUGACUUUGGGAUAACUUCAGGAAACUGGGGCUAAUACCGGAUAGGAGCUCCUGCUGCAUGGUGGGGGUUGGAAAGUUUCGGCGGUUGGGGAUGGACUCGCGGCUUAUCAGCUUGUUGGUGGGGUAGUGGCUUACCAAGGCUUUGACGGGUAGCCGGCCUGAGAGGGUGACCGGCCACAUUGGGACUGAGGUACGGCCCAGACUCCUACGGGAGGCAGCAGUGGGGAAUAUUGCACAAUGGGCGGAAGCCUGAUGCAGCAACGCCGCGUGCGGGAUGACGGCCUUCGGGUUGAAAACCGCUUUCGCCUGUGACGAAGCGUGAGUGACGGUAAUGGGUAAAGAAGCACCGGCUAACUACGUG